GACGAACGCUGGCGGCGUGCUUAACACAUGCAAGUCGAACGGAAAGGCCCUGCUUUCGUGGGGUGCUCGAGUGGCGAACGGGUGAGUAACACGUGAGUAACCUGCCCUUGACUUUGGGAUAACUUCAGGAAACUGGGGCUAAUACCGGAUAGGAGCUCCCGCUGCAUGGAGGGGGUUGGAAAGUUUCGGCGGUUGGGGAUGGACUCGCGGCUUAUCAGCUUGUUGGUGGGGUAGUGGCUUACCAAGGCUUUGACGGGUAGCCGGCCUGAGAGGGUGACCGGCCACAUUGGGACUGAGAUACGGCCCAGACUCCUACGGGAGGCAGCAGGGGGGAGUAUUGCACAAUGGGCGGAAGCCUGAUGCAGCGACGCCGCGUGCGGGAUGACGGCCUUCGGGUUGUAAACCGCUUUCGCCUGUGACGAAGCGUGAGUGACGGUAAUGAGUAAAGAAGCACCGGCUAACUACGUG
rnacentral:rRNA from 1 species